rnacentral:rRNA from 1 species
CCUACGGGAGGCUGCAGUGAGGAAUAUUGGUCAAUGGGCGAGAGUCUGAACCAGCCAAGUAGCGUGAAGGAUGACUGCCCUAUGGGUUGUAAACUUCUUUUAUAUGGGAAUAAAAUGUUCCACGUGUGGGAUUUUGUAUGUACCAUAUGAAUAAGGAUCGGCUAACUCCGUGCCAGCAGCCGCGGUAAUACGGAGGAUCCGAGCGUUAUCCGGAUUUAUUGGGUUUAAAGGGAGCGUAGGUGGAUUGUUAAGUCAGUUGUGAAAGUUUGCGGCUCAACCGUAAAAUUGCAGUUGAAACUGGCAGUCUUGAGUACAGUAGAGGUGGGCGGAAUUCGUGGUGUAGCGGUGAAAUGCUUAGAUAUCACGAAGAACUCCGAUUGCGAAGGCAGUUCACUGGACUGCAACUGACACUGAGGCUCGAAAGUGUGGGUAUCAAACAGGAUUAGAUACCCGUGUAGUC